GACGAACGCUGGCGGCGUGCCUAAUACAUGCAAGUCGAGCGCAGGAAGCUGGCGGGACUCUUCGGAGGGAAGGCAGUGGAAUGAGCGGCGGACGGGUGAGUAACACGUAAGGAACCUGCCUCAAGGAUUGGGAUAACUCCGAGAAAUCGGAGCUAAUACCGGAUAGUUCAACGGACCGCAUGGUCCGCUGAUGAAAGGCGCUCCGGCGUCACCUUGAGAUGGCCUUGCGGUGCAUUAGCUAGUUGGUGGGGUAACGGCCCACCAAGGCGACGCGGCAUAGCCGACCCGAGAGGGUGAUCGGCCACACUGGGACUGAGACACGGCCCAGACUCCUACGGGAGGCAGCAGUAGGGAAUCUUCCACAAUGGACGAAAGUCUGAUGGAGCAACGCCGCGUGAGUGAUGAAGGUUUUCGGAUCGUAAAACUCUGUUGUAAGGGAAGAACACGUACGAGAGGAAAUGCUCGUACCUUGACGGUACCUUACGAGAAAGCCACGGCUAACUACGUGCCAGCCGCCGCCGUAAGAC
rnacentral:rRNA from 1 species